GACCGCGUAGCUCAGUUGGCACUGCAUUGGGCUAGUAUUCCAAAGGUCGUAGGUUCGAUUCCCACCGCGGCCG
rnacentral:tRNA from 1 species